rnacentral:rRNA from 1 species
AAAGAUUAAGCCAUGCAUGUCUAAGUAUAAGCAAUUAUACGGCGAAACUGCGAAUGGCUCAUUAUAUAAGUUAUCGUUUAUUUGAUAGCACCUUUCUACUCGGAUAACUGUGGUAAUUCUAGAGCUAAUACGUGCUGAAAAUCCCGACUUCGGAAGGGCUGUAUUUAUUAGAUUAAAAACCAAUGCCCCUCGGGGCUUCUUGGUGAUUCAUGAUAACUUCUCGAAUCGCAUGGCCUUGCGCCGGCGAUGGUUCAUUCAAAUUUCUUCCCUAUCAACUUUCGAUGCGAGGGUAUUGUCCUCGCAUGGUUACAACGGGUAACGGAGGGUUAGGGCUCGACCCCGGAGAAGGAGCCUGAGAAACGGCUACUACAUCCAAGGAAGGCAGCAGGCGCGCAAAUUACCCAAUCCCGACACGGGGAGGUAGUGACAAUAAAUACUGAUACAGGGCUCUUUUGGGUCUUGUAAUCGGAAUGAGUACAACUUAAAUCCCUUAACGAGGAACAAUUGGAGGGCAAGUCUGGUGCCAGCAGCCGCGGUAAUUCCAGCUCCAAUAGCGUAUAUUAAAGUUGUUGUGGUUAAAAAGCUCGUAGUUGAACCUUGGGCCUGGCUACAAGGACCGCCUCACCGCGAGAUCUUUCCGAGCCGGGUCUUUCCCACUGUGGAACCCCAUGGCCUUCACUGGUUGUGGCGGGGAAACAGGACUUUUACUUUGAAAAAAUUAGAGUGCUCCAGGCAGGCCAUGCUCGAAUACAUUAGCAUGGAAUAAUAAAAUAGGACGCGUGGUUCUAUUUUGUUGGUUUCUAGGACCGCCGUAAUGAUUAAUAGGGACAGUCGGGGGCAUCAGUAUUCAAUUGUCAGAGGUGAAAUUCUUGGAUCUAUUGAAGACUAACUACUGCGAAAGCAUUUGCCAAGGAUGUUUUCAUUGAUAAGGAACGAAAGUUAGGGGAUCGAAGACGAUCAGAUACCGUCGUAGUCUUAACUAUAAACUAUGCCGACUAGGGAUCGGACGAUGUUAUAUUUUGACUCGUUCGGCACCUUUCGAGAAAUCAAAGUGCUUGGGCUCCAGGGGGAGUAUGGUC